GAGCUCACAAAAGACAUCACGGGAGCAUAGGUUGAGAACAACAAAUUAUGUGUUUCUGUACACUAUCGUAACGUAGAUGAGAAGAGUUGGUCAAUUAUUGGAGAAUCUGUUGAUGAACUGUU